CUGGGUCUUGCAGACAUGGAGGACUUCUGUGGGCUCGAGCCUAGGUUUCUCCACCUUGGCCUCAAAGGCUCCUUGCUCGUCAGAAAAGCCCAGAGCUGCAGCCUCGAUAGGAGGUGUGGCACCCUAAGAUAAAUCCAAAGGUAACCCAGCAGUGAAAAGCCAGGAGUCCAAAGUUUUCAGAUUUGGACUUGCAAGGACCUGUGAACCUGCAUUUCCCCAGUUAAAAGAAAAAAAAUAAGGGCAGAAGAAGAAAGAAAAGAAAAGAAAAAUGCACCUCCACACGCAUAGCAACAAUCAUGUGACCUGCCACCCCGGGUUUCCAAGCAGCCGAUCUGCAUGUACACAGGUACAGUAUUCCCAGGCACAGAGGACGCAAACGGGCUCGCGGUUCAUUAAACGGCAGGCCCCAGGAGACAGACAGAGAAACUUAACAUGUAUCCACCCAUAAGUGAGAGUUCUGACGUCCAGAGAAAGCAGGUGAUUCUUCCAUGGCUGCAGCUAGCUAGUGACAGAGCCCAGACCGGGACGUCCUGAGAGCCAGCGCCCACAGCUCUUCUGCUCCUGCACACGUUCCUAUGCCAAUACCCCUAUUCUGACUGAACGUAAACUUCCUGUGACUGCUUUGGGAAAUGAUAAUUGAAUUAAAUCUGAGCUGGCUGUGGUUUGUGUUCCGUUUUCAAAAAGCACUAAACUUCAGAGGUAUAGUGCCUCCCAACAGACGUAAUACUGCAGCCACUGAACAACACUUAAAGAAACAGAGCAGUCUGGAGGCACCAGCAGGAUGGAGGCACGGAAGGGCAGCGAGCAGCCAUUCUCAAAGUGGUAUCCGGACACCCCUGCCGUCUGCACUCCCUGAGGUCAAGAUCAUUUUCAUAAAACACUAAAAUGUUAUUUGCCUUUUUCACUGUGUUGACAUUUUUCACUGUGUGAUAAUGCAAAAGCAACGGUAAGUAAAACUACUAGCACCUCAUAUGAAUCAAGACAGGGACACCAACUAUAUGAGUAGUUACUGGAUUCUUCACUAUCACGUACUUACAGUUAAAAAAAAAAAGGCAGUUUCACUUAAGAAUAUCCUUGAUAAAGAACAUGUAUUUUUAACAUUCUGCGACAUAAAGCACUUCUGAUGCAUACCAAAGUAUGAUGGUUGAGGAAAAGCACUCGUGAUUAUUUGAGUUUCGAGCUGAACUACCCAUUUUUUUCAUAGAACGUUAUUUUUACUUGAAAAAAACAGCUGGUAAACUACUUAUAUAUGUAAAUACUAUACCUAAAGAUUUUUCUGAAGAGAUAGAUGUUAAUAAAUGUGAAUGUUUUAAUAUCAAUUAUGGAAAUGUGUCAACAGUGGAGGAUCUACAUAACUAGUGAAACAAUAUUAACCAAAUGCCUGACGUCAUAAAAUCAUGCAUGCUUAGAAGAUCCACUCAAAGUAUAAAACAGCCCGAUGGAUUUUAAUCUAAGAGUAUAAAAAGUUCAUUGACAUGACUUCAGAGUCCACUGAACAACAAAACUGUGAGUAACUUCUACCUGUUGGAGUUGAGUGUAGUUUCAAAGAACAUCCAAAUUAUUCAAAAUUCUCCCUCUCUUUUCCAUGCGCAUGUCUUUAAAACUUCAAACAAAGCUACAUACCUCAACAGAUGCAAUGCAGAGGCAAAUGAGAACCUUGCUGUCUUCUAGUAAGUCAGACAUUAAAGAGAUUUGCAAAAAUGUAGAACAGUGUCACUCUUCUCACUACAUUUUCUUUGGGAAAUUAUAAUUUCUUCCAUAAAAAUAUGUUAGUUCUAUUAACAUGUAAUGGGCUUAUUGUGAUUUUAAAAUAAAUCAAAUAUUUUUA